UACGGAGGGUGCAAACGUUGCUCGGAAUCAUUGGGCGUAAAGCGCACGUAGGCGGCUUUGUAAGUCAGGGGUGAAAUCCCGGGGCUCAACCUCGGAACUGCCUUUGAUACUGCAAAUCUCGAGUCCGGAAGAGGUGAGUGGAAUUCCUAGUGUAGAGGUGAAAUUCGUAGAUAUUAGGAAGAACACCAGUGGCGAAGGCGGCUCACUGGUCCGAUACUGACGCUGAGGUGCGAAAGCGUGGGGAGCAAACAGG
rnacentral:rRNA from 1 species